UCCCCGGUGGCUCAGAUGGUAAAGAAUCUGCCUGCAAGGCAGGAGACCCAGGUUCGAUCCCUGGAUCGGGAG
rnacentral:tRNA from 1 species